GCUGCUGCUGUUCUUGUUGUCGCGUACGGCGCCGACGACGGAGGCUCGCCAAAUCCCUGCGGCGAUCGACGCCAUUGAUGAGCUCCGAGGAAGAAGAAGCAGCAGCUCAAGAAGAGGAUAAGGUUGUGGUGGUGAUUUUGAAAAUGGAUACGGAAAUGGGGGACGGAGUUAUCAAUCAAGCCAAACAAAAUUGCCUAGUAGAAUAAUUAUAUGUGGUGGUGGUGUACUGGUGAACUGGUGAACUGGUGAUCGGCCGCGUCAUCUCUAAAACGGGUUAAUUAAUGGAUAUUGGAGCUCCGCAUGAGUUCACCUGCCCGUUUAUGCCUACCCGGAUCCGAUCCACCAAAUCGGCUUGACCCGAACUCAUUGACUCCUCAACCAGCCGCACGAAUCGUAAAGCUACAACAUUCUAUGUAAACCUAUAUAUAUAUAUAUAUAUAUAUGUAGAAAUGUGUGUGCAUAUGUUUGCAACGCAACACAAACAUUUGCACCACGUAAUUAGGAGAGAUUAAUAAAAGAUUUAAAAAGCACGCACGUAGAAGCCAUGCAAACGCCGAGCUCCACGUCGUCGGUUUCCUCUCCGCCGCCCCGCGCCGACGCAGACGCCGACCCCGUGCCCGGCGCUGACUUCGGCCACCCGUUGCUGCCGCACCUCCUAGACCAGGCGACAGCGGAGAUCCGGCCGCCGCUGCUGCCGGAGGCGCCGCACGAGGCGCAGCUCCCGGUGCUGGCGGCGGAUGCAGCGGCCGCCGAGCGCCCCCGCUUCGGGGCUCUGGCAUAUCGUCGGCGGCUGCUGCGGCUGCGGCAGAUUCUGGAGCGGUACCAAUGGCAGGCGCGGCAGUCGCAUGCGCGGCGGAUGCAGGCGCGGCGGCUCUUCUGGGAGCUGCAGGCGAUCGCCGAGGAGGAGUGGGUGGGUCGGCGGCUGAUGAGGGUGGCGCACGACGAGUUCAACCACAUCGCCACCGCCCCGCCGCGGCACAACAACUAGGACGUACGUGGCCGGGGACGACGAGCGAGGACGAGGACAAGAACAAGAAUUGCGUGGCCCGGGCCGUGAGGAUAUUGUUUUUUUUUCUUUUCACAUAGGAUUUAUACCAAUCCAAUUCUUUUCGGAUUUUAUACUACUACUUCUUACGUAGGAGGUAAAUACAAAUACCUGCUCAAAUUCGUUCCAUCUGUACCAUUCCAUUAAUUCAUACUAAUUCGAUUCUUUUUACGGAGGAUUUAUACCAAACCAACUUCGUUUCGAUUCUUUCAAUCUCGUUUCGUGCAUUUCUUUAUCCAGCGUAAUCUAAUUUUAAGUUCCAUCAAAUUCAAAUUCGUUCGGUUUUCGUAUUACGCCUAUUGUGCUCAUUUGCGCAAUUUGAAUUUUGGUAAUGUCAUAAGAAAUUAACUUUAGCGUUAACAAGAUCAUAUUAAAAAAUUUUACUUUCAUUUUUUUCAAAUCGAUCGAUCUUGUCCCGUUCUGAGAUGUUCCCUAAUAUUUCUAAUUAUAGAAAAUUUUUUAGUUAUUUUAGUAUUUUUUUAGUUAUUUUUAAUAAAACAAAAUUAAGGUUAGCUUAUUUUAUUUUUAUUGUUCUCUUUCUCCUUAUUUCUCUAUCUCUAAGUGUAUCUUUUUUUAAGACAGUUCGAUAUCCUUUCGAAUCAUCGAAUGGAUCAUUUAUUUCUAUCGAUACAGUCGAAUCGAAUCACAUUCUCAACUGCUAUUAUUUUAUGUUUAUACAAUAUAAACUUUUUAUAAAGUUAAUGGUAAAUAAUUUUCAAAUUUAUUUUAUCAUAGUUUCUAGCUUAAAUUUUCUAAAUUGUUGCAAAUAAAAAUUUAGUUGAAUAGAUGCUUAAGUUAUCUUAGUCAUUAUGACGUUACUGUUUAUCAUAUUAUUGCAUCACUACUAAAUUAGCGACACAUCAUUAUUUAUUUAACCGCGUAAAUUAAAUUGUAAGGCUUAUUUCCAUAAUUUGAAAAAUCUGAGUUAGAAAUUGCAAUAAAUUAAAUUUGAGAACGUAUAAAAUUAUAUGAAACAACCAUAGUUCUCUAAAUGCUCAAGAUCAUAAAGAAUGAUAUUUUUAUAUUUUUAUAUUUAGCACUUUCUUCCGGUUUGGGCUCAAUUUUUAUAUUUUUCAUAUUUAAUAUUGUGUCUCAAGAAUUUUAGAUAGACCCAUGACGUGAACUUAUAUUAAAUCAAAUAAGAGAAAAUUAAUUAGAUUACAUUUUAUAUUUAGUAUUUCUACUCAAAUCUGGGCUGAUGUGAAAUUAAAUUAAAUUAAAUGGGAUGAAAUUAAUUGUGAUAGCAUUUCUCUUAUUUGAUUUAAUAUAUUAAUCAGUGAAUUCAAUGAUGAAUAUAUCGAAUAUAAUGAUUUCAUUAAUUUUUAAUUAAAUUAAAUUAAAUUAAAUUAAAUUAAAUUAAAUGGCUAAGAAUUAAUAGAAAUAUUAAAAUAUAAUAUAAUUUUAACUGUGCUAACAAAAAAAAAAAUCACUUUAGAAAAGUUAGAAGACGUUUAUAAAAUAAAGAAAAAACAUCAACUACCACCUCUAUAGUUUAGUGCUUUCUCAUUUUAGUAUCUUAUAAUUUUAUUUUUCUCUUUUUGUUAUCCCUUUUAUUAAUUUUUUUAUCAUAUGGAUCGGUGAUAAAAUUAAAAUUAUAUGGUACUAAAGUAAAAAUUCAGUAAACCACAUAAUACUAAAGUAAAAUUAAAAUUAUAUGAUAGUAAAGUAAAAAUUCAGUAAACCACAUAAUAGUAAAGUGAAUAUUCAAUAAAUUAUAGAUCGGUCAUAUAAAGUUUUUUUAUAUCAUUUAACAGAUGUGCUGACUGAAAAAGAAAAAAUGAAACUACAGGUACUAAAGUGAUAUAUUUUAAAUUAUAGGAUAUCGGAAUGAAAAGGUGCAAAUUUAUCCUAAAAUGAAAGUUGAUAGAGCUAUUUCUAAAUGAGAUAUAGUGUAGGGAUCUCCGAGCAAUUUUACCUUGAAUACGUGAGUUGGAUGAGAUUUAAAGGGAACCAGUGUAAAUAUCUAUCCCAGUUCCUGGAACUUAGACAGGUUGUGAUGUAUAUAUAGGGGUUAUUCGUUACAGCAUGUCUACGGGUCUAUGAAUUAUGAGGCGUGUGAGAAUAGCAUCUUUUGUGUUCGUAUUUGGAUCGCUGCAUUAUUUAUAAGAAUUUAUUUUAAGAUCAGUUGGUUGAAAUCUUUCUCUUCUGAGAAUAAAUUUUUAAUUAAGUCAUGGAUAACAUAUAUGCCCUUUGAUUACAAACUUAUUCCAAAACAAAAGAAAAAGAAAAGAAGUUAAUUAUAGAGGUAACAUCAAAAUCCUGCAUUCACUUUAUUCGCAAGGUAUAGCAAUUGUUUGGCAAAUUGAUGUAACCUCUUUCAUUCAAAUUUUUAUAGAUGAUGUNUUAUUCAUGUUUUUUUUUUAAUCUUUUUUAGUAAAAAUUUACAAAGCUUAUCUGAACUAAUAGAUUAUUUUGAUUUUGCUAUCUAGUUUUUCAAAAUUUUAAUUUUACUAUCUAAUUUUUAAAUUUGCUUAAUUUGAAUCAGUCAACAGGAUUUUCACCUCAUAAUUUGAAUGCGCUAUUUAUUUUUUCAGGUUCAUAUUGUGUACUUUAUGCAAUUCUUGCAACCGUAAAUUUAUUAAAAUAAAUAAUUCGCUUAAAUAUUUAAAGUCAAAAUAUUAUUGAUUGAUUUAAAUUAAACAAAUUAUAAGAUUGGAUGGUAAAAUUAAUUUUGUAUAGCUGAUUAAAAUGGUUCAUAGUGUCAGUAGGGCGUGGGAUCAGAAAAAAAAAUAUAUAUUAUAUAAUUUUUCUGUAAUUCCAAACGGACGCAUGUGGGAGGUUCCGGCUGGUAAUAACAGCAAUUGAUAGAAUUGAAGGACAUAAUAUAUCACAUACAUGCAGAGGAGUUGCUUGUCACGGCUUCAGUGUUUUUGUUCGUAAAGCCCGCGCGGCGCCCUCCUUCCUACUCGAAGAUGGACAAGUUUUCGUCCCUGUUGCUAGUCCGGACCUUCGCGUCCUACGACUAAGUAUGCAAGAGGAAUGAGAGAGAGAGAGAGGCAGAAGUUCACUCAAAAAAACUAUGUACUCCACUACUUAAAAAAAGAGAUUACAACACAAAUACACUCCCUCUUGUGUGUUUUGGUCUUAGCCAAACCCCACUAUUUAUAAGUCUAAGAAUACAAUGAACCUAGCCACAUAACUUACCCACUAGCCUACUCAUAAUGAGUCCUCAUAAUACCCAAAAGUCACCAUAUUAACUCUUGGUUGUUUUGUAAUCUUUAAGCUUUCAUCAUUGAUGAAAAAAAUUACAAAAUCCUUCAUUUCCCCACAGCAGGUUGGGUUUGGGUCUCCAUGACAAUCCGAUUCAACCCGUUUUCACUAGUAGAAUUGGGCCAAGGACUAAGAUUGCAUAGCAAUUUCGCUAAGUCCCUAACAUGCUGCUGCUUCUCUUGCUGUUACCGGCCAUUCCCCUUCUCAUCGGCAUAGCAUCAACACCUCAUAGGCAUUUCGCAAACCAAAUUAAACAAGCAUCAGCAAACAAGGAAGAGGAGCAGGAAAAAACAACAACAACAACAACAACAACAACAACAACAACAACGAUAAUAAGAACACCAGCACAAGAAACCCUAGAAAUUGGGAGUGGCGACGGGUUCGCCUCUGGCGCCAUUGAUGAGCUCCGAGGAGGAAAGAGCAGGUCAAGAAGAAGAAGAGGAGGAGAAGGUGGUGGUGAUUUUGAAAAUGGAUACGGAAACAGGGACGGACUUAUCUCAGCUCAAGCUUGGCUUGAAAUUAAUUUCGAUUCUAAAUUUAGACUCAAGCUCGGCUUAAUAAAUUCGAGCCGAACACAAGCUCUAACUCGCCGAAAAUCGAGUCGAACGCGAGCCGACU
rnacentral:lncRNA from 1 species